AACGCUAGCGACAGGCCUAACACAUGCAAGUCAGGGGCAGCACAAGGAGCAAUCUGAGGUGGCGACCGGCGCACGGGUGAGUAACACGUAUGCAACCUGCCUGUAAGCGGGGAAUAACCCGUUGAAAGACGGACUAAUACCGCAUAAUACUAAAUUACUGCAUGGUAAUUUAUUUAAACAUUUAUGGCUUACAGAUGGGCAUGCGCAUGAUUAGCUAGUUGGAGAGGUAACGGCUCCCCAAGGCAACGAUCAUUAGGGGUUCUGAGAGGAAGGUCCCCCACACUGGUACUGAGACACGGACCAGACUCCUACGGGAGGCAGCAGUGAGGAAUAUUGGUCAAUGGACGAGAGUCUGAACCAGCCAAGUCGCGUGCAGGAAGAAUGUUCCCUAUGGAUUGUGAACUGCUUUUGCAGGGGAAUAAAGUGCAUCACGUGUGAUGUUUUGUAUGUACUCUGCGAAUAAGGAUCGGCUAACUCCGUGCCAGCCGCCGC
rnacentral:rRNA from 1 species